UGGUUAACUCAAUUGAAAUAUUAGGCAUGUGUAUUGCCAAUGCUUACUUGUGUGGUGCAUUUGAGUAACGAUAGAUAGCACUUAGCAUUGACACUGAGUGUGAGAAUGGCAACGGGAACGGGAAGUAAGAAGAAGCCAUCACCUCUCUCUUUGGAGCAAUUCAUCUCAAUUACCGCUCCUCUUCUUGAUUUGGAAAAGGAAGCUGAGAUUUCAAGCUCAAUCGCCACUGGCGCGUCCCGGAAUUUGGAUACUGCUCAAAAGAGGGGUUCCACAAUCCUCAACUUGAAGUGUGUCGAUGUCCAGACAGGGCUUAUGGGGAAGUCUCUGAUCGAGUUCCAGUCAACAAAAGGAGAUGUUCUUCCUGCACACAAGUUUGGUACUCAUGAUGUUGUUGUUUUAAAACUCAACAAGGCUGAUUUAGGUUCUCCUGCUCUUGGACAAGGUGUUGUUUACAGAUUAAAGGACUCAUCAAUAACUGUUGCUUUCGAUGAUAUACCAGAAGAUGGUUUAAACAGUCCCCUAAGACUGGAAAAAGUAGCAAAUGAGGUGACAUAUCGCAGGAUGAAAGACGCAUUGAUACAGUUGAGUAAAGGAGUGCACAAGGGUCCUGCCUCUGAUCUGAUUCCUGUCUUGUUUGGGGAGAGGCCACCAGCAGUGUCCAAGAAGGAUGUAUCCUUCACUCCCUUUAAUAAAAAUCUUGAUCACUCUCAGAAAGAAGCAGUUUCGAAAGCUCUAUCAUCGAAGAACGUGUUCUUGCUGCAUGGACCACCUGGAACAGGAAAAACUACAACAGUUGUAGAAAUUAUAUUACAAGAAGUGAAGCGUGGAUCUAAGAUUCUUGCUUGUGCUGCCUCAAAUAUUGCUGUUGACAACAUUGUUGAGCGGCUAGUUCCACAUAGAGUUAAGCUGGUGAGACUGGGUCAUCCUGCACGUUUAUUGCCUCAAGUACUGGACAGUGCACUGGAUGCUCAGGUACUACGAGGAGAUAAUAGUGGUCUUGCAAACGACAUUCGGAAAGAAAUGAAGGCAUUGAAUGGAAAGCUACUGAAAACCAAAGACAGAAAUACGAGAAAGGACAUACAAAGGGAACUUAGGACUCUAUCCAAAGAAGAACGUAAAAGGCAGCAGCUUGCUGUAACAGAUGUACUUAAAAGUGCAGAUGUAAUAUUAACUACUUUGAUUGGGGCUUUCUCUAAGAAACUAGACAGCACUUCAUUUGAUUUGGUGAUUAUUGAUGAAGCUGCUCAAGCACUUGAGAUAGCAUGCUGGAUACCUCUGCUGAAGGGUUCAAGAUGUGUACUUGCAGGGGACCAUCUUCAACUUCCUCCAACCAUUCAAAGUGUUGAAGCCGAGAAGAAAGGCUUAGGAAGAACGCUCUUUGAACGACUUGCAGAAGUGUAUGGAGAUGAAAUCACAUCGAUGCUUACUGUCCAGUACCGUAUGCAUGAACUUAUCAUGGAUUGGUCUUCUAAAGAGCUUUACAACAGUAAGAUCAAGGCUCAUCCUAGUGUUACUGCACAUAUGUUAUAUGAUCUUGAGGGUGUGAAGCGGACAACUUCAACUGAACCAACCCUCCUUCUCAUAGACACAGCUGGAGAUGGGUAUACUGGUUUCUUCUAUCUAAUCAAGAAUUUAGCAUAUGACCAAACUGAUGUGACAUGGAAGAAAAGAAAGAUGAAGAAGAUAGCACCUUUAAUGAAGGUGAAGCUGAGGUUACUGUGGCUCAUGCAAAGAGACUAGUGCAAAGUGGGGUGAUUCCUUCUGAUAUUGGAAUUAUUACUCCAUAUGCUGCCCAGGUUGUUUUACUCAAGAUGUUGAAAAACAAGGAGGACCGGCUGAAGGAUGUUGAAAUCUCAACAGUUGAUGGUUUCCAGGGAAGGGAGAAGGAAGCCAUUAUUAUAUCAAUGGUUCGAUCAAAUUCAAAAAAAGAGGUUGGCUUUCUGAGUGAUCACCGGCGAAUGAAUGUGGCUGUGACACGGUCCAGAAGGCAAUGCUGUCUUGUCAGUGACACAGAGACAGUCAGUGGUGAUGGAUUUCUAAAGCGAUUGAUUGAGUAUUUUGAGGAGCAUGGUGAAUAUCUGAGUGCAUCUGAGUACCAGAAUGAGUAGGCCAGAUUCACAAGGUUAAGAUUUCUAUUGUUGCACUCGCAUGUGAUCAAUUAGUUGAUUUUGCUAGUAGAUCUGUGAAGGUUUCUAAAAUCUUUCCUGAGCUAUUUGGAAUGGAAAAAAGAUAAUUUUUAUAGAACCAUUUUAUGUAGAAGAAAAAAAUUAUUGGUAUCUAGUAAUGUUAUUACUUUGAUUUUGUUAACAAACAAUAUAACUUUCAGAAUAAGGUGGAGAUGGAUUUGAGUCCCUUCUCUUUA